GAGGCCAAAACUCACUUCACAGCUGUUGCAAAAGCAGGGGAAAAGUCAAGGAGGCAGACACAACUUGGAGGGGAAGAUAGGAGAGACAUGGCAUGGAUACUUGAAAAAAAAAAAAACAGAAAACAAAAUCUUGUUCCACAUCAAAGCCAUCAAAAGGCAUGGCACGGCAUCAAGGGCAGGGACAUGCAGGACAUUCACCAAGGCUGGCCAAAAUUGAUCCCCGCUGAAGGUCAAAACAAAUAAGAAGGACUUAGGAACACUCUGGAAUAGAGAUAGCAUCCAAAGAAAUGAAAUUGAAGGAGAGAAAAAAAAAAUUUUUUGAAAUUUAGUGACUACAAGAAAGUGGUCUGGGCCAAAAUGAAGUACAGUGCAAACCUCAAAAAGAGGCCAAAACUCACCUCACAGCUGUUCCAAAAUCAGGGGAAAAGUGAAGGAGGCAGACACAACUUGGAGGGGAAGAUAAGAGGGAAAUGGCAUGGAUACUUAAAAAAAAAAAAAGGAAAAAAAAAAUCUUGUUCCACAUCAAAGCCAUCAAAAGGCAUGGCAAGCCAUCAAGGGCAGGGACAUGCAGGACAUUCACCAAGGCUGGCCAAAAUUGAUCCCCGCUGAAGGUCAAAACAAAUAAGAAGGACUUAGGAACACUAUGGAAUAGAGAUAGCAUCCAAAGAAAUGAAAUUGAAGGAGAGAAAAAAAAAAUUUUUGAAAUUUAGUGACUACAAGAAAGUGGUCUGGGUGGAAAUGAUGUGCAGUGCAAAGGACCAAAGGAGGCCAAAACUCACCUCACAGCUGUUCCAAAAUCAGGGGAAAAGUGAAGGAGGCAGACACAACUUGGAGGGGAAGAUAAGAGGGAAAUGGCAUCGAUAUUUAAAAAAAAAAAAAGGAAAAAAAAAAUCUUGUUCCACAUCAAGGCCAUCAAAAGGCAUGGCAUGGCAUCAAGGGCAGGGACAUGCAGGACAUAGACCAAGGCUGGCCAAAAUUGAUCCCCGCUGAAGGUCAAAACAAAUAAGAAGGACUUAGGAACGCUAUGGAAUAGAGAUAGCAUCCAAAGAAAUGAAAUUGAAGGAGAGAAAAAAAAAAUUUUUGAAAUUUAGUGACUACAAGAAAGUAGUCUGGGUGGAAAUGAUGUGCAGUGCAAAGGACCAAAGGAGGCCAAAACCCACCUCACAGCUGUUCCAAAAUCAGGGGAAAAGUGAGGAGGCAGACACAACUUGGAGGGGAAGAUAAGAGGGAAAUGGCAUGGAUAUUUAAAAAAAAAAAAAAAGAAAAAAAAAUCUUGUUCCACAUCAAAGCCAUCAAAAGGCAUGGCAUGGCAUCAAGGGCAGGGACAUGCAGGACAUUCACCAAGGCUGGCCAAAAUUGAUCCCCGCUGAAGGUCAAAACAAAUAAGAAGGACUUAGGAACAUUCUGGAAUAGAGAUAGCAUCCAAAGAAAUGAAAUUGAAGGAGAGAAAAAAAAAAUUUUUGAAAUUUAGUGACUACAAGAAAGUGGUCUGGGCCAAAAUGAAGUACAGUGCAAACCACAAAA